UCCUGGAGGACAAUAACAGCAGCAAGUGUGAGUGAGCAACAAUGGAGGCCGGUGAGCAGAUGGGACUCCUCGGUCGCUGGGUCGACCCAUGCCACUCAGACAAGCACCUCACCCAGGAGCCGGAGGGCGAGCAGUCCGACUUGCCCAACAAGACGCUCUUCCUGCUCGUCAUCGGGGUGACCUACGCGGUCAUGGUGCUGUGCGCCUUCGUCAUUGUCUACGAGUUUAUUUACAACCGCCCACAGCAGUAGGACUACGGUGACCGCGCGGAACAUUCUCUGUUGUUCCCGCCACGGAGCUGAGGAAUCAAGAGAGAGGUGUCGCGCUCGCCGCAAUCAGAGUCUUUCGGAAAGUCUCAUCCAGAACCAGGUGAAGUUCAGCUCAAGUUCAAGGCAGCCGGCAGUCCGGUCAAAAAUGACGCAACCUGAACACCCUGAAGAGGCCCUAAUCUCAGAGAAUAGUUUUUAUCGCUGUAGGAAAUGAGAACACCGCAGUGAACCUGC